GACGGAGGAUGCAAGCGUUAUCCGGAAUGAUUGGGCGUAAAGCGCCCGCAGGCGGCAGUUCAAGUCUGCUGUCAAAGACCGGGGCUUAACUUCGGAAAGGCAGUGGAAACUGAACAGCUAGAGUAUGGUAGGGGCAGAGGGAAUUCCUGGUGUAGCGGUGAAAUGCGUAGAGAUCAGGAAGAACAUCGGUGGCGAAGGCGCUCUGCUGGACCAUAACUGACACUGAGGGACGAAAGCUAGGGGAGCGAAUGGG
rnacentral:rRNA from 1 species